UCUACGGGUGGCUGCAGUGGGGAAUAUUGCACAAUGGGGGAAACCCUGAUGCAGCGACGCCGCGUGAGUGAAGAAGUAAUUCGUUACGUAAAGCCCUAUCAGCAGGGAAGAAAAUGACGGUACCUGAGUAAGAAGCCCCGGCUAACUACGUGCCAGCAGCCGCGGUAAUACGUAGGGGGCAAGCGUUAUCCGGAUUUACUGGGGGUAAAGGGAGCGUAGGCGGUGGGCCAAGUAUGGAGGGAAAGGCCGCAGCUUAACUGCGGAACGGCUUUGGAACCUGGGGAACCAGAGUGCGGGAGGGGUAAGCGGAAUUCCUGGUGUAGCGGUGAAAUGCGUAGAUAUUAGGAGGAACACCGGUGGCGAAGGCGGCUUACUGGACCGUAACUGACGUUGAGGCUCGAAAGCGUGGGGAGCAAACAGGAUUAGAUACCCGAGUAGUC
rnacentral:rRNA from 1 species